rnacentral:rRNA from 1 species
AGAGCGCAGGGUGGAUGCCUUGGCACUAAGAGCCGAAGAAAGACGUGAUAAGCUGCGAAAAGCUGCGGGGAGGAGCAAAUAUCCACUGAUCCGCAGAUGUCUGAAUGGGGAAACCCGCAUGAGCAUACCUCAUGCAUCCAUACGCCAAUCCAUAACGUAUGGAGGGGAACCGCCUGAACUGAAACAUCUAAGUAGGGCGAGGAAGAGAAAGAAAAUUUAUCGAUUUCCAAAGUAGCGGCGAGCGAAAUGGAAAGAGGCCAAACCGGAGUGCGUGCACUCCGGGGUUCGGACCGCAUUUAAGAUUCAGUAAAUCUAGCAGAAAGGUUUUGGGAAAGCCUGCCGGAGAGGGUGAAAGCCCCGUAAGCGAAAGAGGAACUGACUGAGCGGUAUCCAGAGUACAUCGAGACACGAGAAACCUUGAUGGAAUGAGCGGGGACCACCCCGUAAGCCUAAAUACUCCUUAGUGACCGAUAGCGCAUAGUACUGUGAAGGAAAGGUGAAAAGGACCCCGGGAGGGGAGUGAAAGAGAACCUGAAACCCUGUGUUUACAAGCUGUGGAACCACCAUAUGAGUGGAACCGCGUACUUUUUGUAGAACGGUCCGGCGAGUUAUGGUUGCUGGCAAGGUUAAGGACGAAAAGUCCGGAGCCGAAGGGAAACCGAGUCUUAAUAGGGCGCCAAGUCAGCAGACAUAGACCCGAAACCGGGUGACCUACCCAUGUCCAGGUUGAAGCCGCUGUAAAAGGCGGUGGAGGACCGAACGCACAUCUGUUGAAAAAGGUGGCGAUGAGGUGUGGGUAGCGGAGAAAUUCCAAUCGAACUCGGAGAUAGCUGGUUCUCUCCGAAAUAGCUUUAGGGCUAGCCUCGGUUUGAGAUUACUGGAGGUAAAGCACUGAAUGGGCUAGGGGCCGAGAGGUUACUGAACCCUAUCAAACUCAGAAUGCCAGAUAAUCAUAACCGGGAGUCAGACAGUGUGAGAUAAGUUUCAUUGUCGAAAGGGAAAGAGCCCAGACCCACAGCUAAGGUCCCAAAGUAUAGUUAAGUGGAAAAGGAUGUGGGGUUGCACAGACAACCAGGAUGUUGGCUCAGAAGCAGCCAUUCAUUCAAAGAGUGCGUAAUAGCUCACUGGUCGAGAGGCCCUGCGCCGAAAAUGUCCGGGGCUGAAACGUACCACCGAAACUAAGGGAUCCGCAAGGAUCGGUAGAGGAGCAUUGCAUGCGGGAGGAAGCAGUACCGUAAGGAGCUGUGGACUGCAUGGAAGAGAGAAUGCCGGAAUGAGUAGCGAGAUAAAGGUGAGAAUCCUUUAGGCCGAAUAUCCAAGGUUUCCAGGGUAAAGCUGAUCUGCCCUGGGUAAGUCGGGGCCUAAGGCGAGGUCGAAAGACGUAGCCGAUGGACAACAGGUUGAAAUUCCUGUACUGCGAUAUAUCAGAAAUGUGGGGACACAGAAGGAAAGUGUGAGCCGGGAAAGGAAAGACCGGUGCAAGCACAGGAGGAGAGAUGCAGGCAAAUCCGCAUCUUAAUCCAAUGGUGUGACGCGGAGCGAACAAAAGUAGCGAAGCACAUGGACCAUCUGUCGAGAAAAGCCGCUAUUGUGUAUAUUGUACCCGUACCGUAAACCGACACAGGUGGAUGAGGAGAGAAUCCUAAGGCCGGCGGGAGAAGCAUUGUUAAGGAACUCGGCAAAAUGACCCCGUAACUUCGGGAGAAGGGGUGCCCUGUGAAAGCAGGGCCGCAGAGAAUAGGCUCAAGCAACUGUUUAGCAAAAACACAGGUCUAUGCGAAACCGAAAGGUGAGGUAUAUGGGCUGACGCCUGCCCGGUGCUGGAAGGUUAAGAGGAGAAGUCAGGCAACGAAGCUUCGAAUUUAAGCCCCAGUAAACGGCGGCCGUAACUAUAACGGUCCUAAGGUAGCGAAAUUCCUUGUCGGGUAAGUUCCGACCCGCACGAAAGGCGUAAUGAUUUGAGCACUGUCUCGACAAUGCAUCCGGUGAAAUUGAAGUACCAGUGAAGAUGCUGGUUACCUGCGCCAGGACGGAAAGACCCCAUGGAGCUUUACUCCAGCUUGAUACUGGGAUUCGAUACUGUAUGUACAGGAUAGGUGGGAGACGUUGAGCAUAGAACGCCAGUUUUAUGUGAGUCGCUGUUGGGAUACCACCCUUGCAGUAUUGGAUUUCUAACCUGCACCCAUGACCUGGGUGGGGGACAAUGUCUGGCGGGGAGUUUGACUGGGGCGGUCGCCUCCGAAAGGGUAUCGGAGGCGCUCAAAGGUUCCCUCAGAAUGGUUGGAAACCAUUCGAAGAGUGCAAAGGCAGAAGGGAGCUUGACU